ACUGGGCAGAGGGAUCCUCCUCCUGUCAUCCCUGGUAGCAGGCCAAAAGCUCUGUCUCCAUCAAACAAAGCCCAUCUGGUUCAGCAGGAGCCCUGUGAAAGCUCAGAUUGGCUUCCUGGCGAGGAGAGAACACCAGUCUAUAAACACCAGCCUGAUGGAAACCAAAUUUGCUGUUAUGAUUCUUGAAAUAGAGAUCUUUUUUUCUGCAGCAUUAGCUCCUCUACAGGUCUGUCUUCCCAGCUGGGCUUACAGCACUGAGGAUACUGAUUGCUGAACACCUCCCAGCGGCACACAUUAGGGCUCAGACAUUUACAGUCAUCCAAAGCAAUCUGUGGAAAGCCAGGGACAAGAUGCUCUGGCGUUUACAGCCCAGCUAUUAGACUUUCUGCCUUGUUGAUCUGCAGCCU